GCUGGAAUAGCUCACUUGGUAGAGCACGAGACUGUUAAUCUCAGGGUCAUGGAUUUUGUGCUCCACGUUGGGCA